rnacentral:lncRNA from 10 species
GGAUUGCUCACCGGUGACUCAGUGGUUGACUCAAAGGCUAGAGGGUGGUUUGGGGGUGGAGGCAGAGGUCCAGUGAGCUGGGCUCCACCCUUUCUCUCCCUGCAGUCCCAACUCCAUUUUUAUCUGUGCUAUAUGUUGGAGUCUAGCCAAGAUGUCAUUUGAACAAAGAUUCUGAAAGAUCAAAGAAAAAAGUUUGAAAACCACCAGGACAAUGCUUUCAGGGGACUUUAUCCAAAAGACUGCAACAAUGUAAAGAGAUACGAUUGCUUUUAUUACUGUGAUAUGUUUAAAGUAUUAUAAAUUUUUUAAGAGCUUUGUAAGUGACAGAAGUGAAGACAUGCUCAUUUUAAUGUUACCAGUCAACUCUGAGAAGACUAAAGGUCAAGGGACAAUGAAAAUGUGACCCUUACCAACGACAGAAACUCCCAGGAAGCCACAAUUAACUCAAGACCACCAGGAUAUUUGGGGAAGUUUAUCCUUCUGGAAACCAGAAUUUCUGAUUUGUGGAAAAUUCUAUAGAUAUUCUCUGCCAGACUCCAGCCUAUUUGCAGAAAGAAAAGAAGCUGUUUUGGAGGUUGGGAAGAGCUUUAGAAAAUGCGGCAUCACGUCUGUUGCCCCAUUUGAAGAAAGCAGCUCUGGAAAAGGCCUAGGACAUUAGUUGCUACAAAGUUCUAGAUCAUUCUGUGUGGUAAAGAAGUGCCUUUCACCUCCCACUGUGAUUCUGAGGCCUCCCCAGCCAUGUGGAACUGUAAGUCCAAUUUAACCUCUUUUUCUUCACAGUCUCAGGUAUGUCUUUAUCAGCAGUGUGAAAACGGACUAAUAUAGCAUCCGUUGUCCACUUCCUCCUUCCAUCAGUCUGCAAAAUUCCAUUUGGGGAUCCAUGUGGCUUCAGGGAAAUCAACUUUAUCAAUGUUCUCUGUUCCGUGGCAGCAGUGAUGGGUUCAGGGAUGGGCAUGUGACCUAAGCCAGUCCAAUCAGAGUGACUCUCAGGUCUUGCUGAAAGUGCCUGGAAACGAUGCCAUUUCCUUCCUGUUGGGCAUGAUGAAGGAAGCAUCUAGCCCCAGGAGCUCCUUCAGUCAUAUUAGGGCCUAAAAGGUGCCAGCCUUUGAUAAAGACACCAAAGGAUAUGAAAGAUAGCAUAAGACAGAACGGAGAGAUGGAAAGAAGCCAGAUCCUUGGUGAUAUUGUUGAGCCAACAGAUCAAGUUUGGCCUUAAGUCAGCCCUAAUUCUGUGCUUUUCAAUUAGAUAAGACAAUACAUGCCCUUUAUUAUUUAAGCCUAUUUGUGUUAGGAGUUCUAGUCUUUGCAAAUGAAAGCACCUAACUAAUACUAAUGUAGAUCUCUGUGGCCAUCCUUCUGGUAAAAGGAGAAGGCAGAGUCAAGGGUGACAUUACAUUUCCUGAAACUGGCAGCUCCAUCUCAUAGAAAACUCACGCAUUACUCAGUGAAAAAACGACCCCCUGUACACAAUAUCCACGUGGGAAACUCCUACUCACUCAUCAAGACCCAUCUCUAAUGUCCCUUCUGUCUCCUAGACUACAUUUACGUAAAAUUAAUCACUUCCUUCUGUUUUACUUCCAUAGAGGCAUAUUACUCAUUCUUUUAUGUAACUAUAAACACAGAGCAAUUACAUACAGCUCAAGGGCAGAGAAUGUCUUAUUCAUCCCUAAAUGCAUCAAACCCAGCACAAGCACAUAGAUGCUGGAUUCUCCAGGUUGCAUGGC